rnacentral:rRNA from 1 species
AUUGAACGCUGGCGGCAUGCUUUACACAUGCAAGUCGAACGGUAACAGGCCGCAAGGUGCUGACGAGUGGCGAACGGGUGAGUAAUGCAUCGGAACGUGCCCAGUCGUGGGGGAUAACGCAGCGAAAGCUGUGCUAAUACCGCAUACGAUCUAUGGAUGAAAGCGGGGGACCGUAAGGCCUCGCGCGAUUGGAGCGGCCGAUGUCAGAUUAGCUAGUUGGUGGGGUAAAGGCCCACCAAGGCGACGAUCUGUAGCUGGUCUGAGAGGACGACCAGCCACACUGGGACUGAGACACGGCCCAGACUCCUACGGGAGGCAGCAGUGGGGAAUUUUGGACAAUGGGCGCAAGCCUGAUCCAGCAAUGCCGCGUGCAGGAAGAAGGCCUUCGGGUUGUAAACUGCUUUUGUACGGAACGAAACGGUCUGGGUUAAUACCUCGGGCUAAUGACGGUACCGUAAGAAUAAGCACCGGCUAACUACGUGCCAGCCGCCGCAGUAAUAC